rnacentral:rRNA from 1 species
GUGCCAGCCGCCGCGGUAAUACGUAGGGGGCGAGCGUUGUCCGGAAUCAUUGGGCGUAAAGAGCUCGUAGGCGGCUCAGAAAGUCGGCUGUGAAAUCCCGGGGCUCAACCCCGUGACUGCAGUCGAUACUGCUGUGGCUAGAGUCCGGUAGAGGAGAGUGGAAUUCCCGGUGUAGCGGUGAAAUGCGCAGAUAUCGGGAGGAACACCAGCAGCGAAGGCGGCUCUCUGGGCCGGAACUGACGCUGAGGAGCGAAAGCGUGGGGAGCAAACAGGAUUAGAUACCCUAGUAGUCC